rnacentral:rRNA from 1 species
GAGUUUGAUCGUGGCUCAGGACGAACGCUGGCGGCGUGCUUAACACAUGCAAGUCGAACGGGCUCAUAUUGAAACCUAGUGAUUUAUGAGUUAGUGGCGGACGGGUGAGUAACGCGUGGAAAACCUGCCGUAUACUGGGGGGAUAACACUUAGAAAUAGGUGCUAAUACCGCAUAAGCGCACAGCUUCGCAUGAAGUGGUGUGAAAAACUCUGGUGGUAUAUGAUGGUUCCGCGUCUGAUUAGCUUGUUGGCGGGGUAAUGGCUCACCAAGGCAACGAUCAGUAGCCGGCCUGAGAGGGUGAACGGCCACAUUGGGACUGAGACACGGCCCAAACUCCUACGGGAGGCAGCAGUGGGGAAUAUUGCACAAUGGGGGAAACCCUGAUGCAGCGACGCCGCGUGAGUGAAGAAGUAUUUCGGUAUGUAAAGCUCUAUCAGCAGGGAAGAAAAUGACGGUACCUGAUUAAGAAGCCCCGGCUAACUACGUGCCAGCCGCCGCAGUAAC